GCGUCCUUGGUGUAGCGGUAACACACAAUCUAUCAAUUCUGGAUGGCUGUAUAGGAGUAUUUAGAUUGGGUCCGGGGUUCGACUACCCGAGGGUGCA